GGAGUUGUGGCUUAGCGGCAAAGCACUCGCCUGGCACGUGUGGGGUCCUGGGUUCGAUCCUCAGCACCA
rnacentral:tRNA from 1 species